rnacentral:lncRNA from 1 species
CUGGUCGGGGACGGUGAAGAUCUCUCUGGCCUCCUCAUAUGAGCAGAUCUCCUCCAGACACUCGCGCUCCAGAUCUCCCAGCUUCAGCUCCUCCAGGAAAGAGUUCGCCCUGCGCACACGCGGAUGCAGCGGCCGGUUCGCCUCUGCACGACUCAAGAACACUGCAGAUCAUGGACACACACACACACACACACACACACACACACACACCGGAUGAAGAAGACACAGGGUCUCUGAUAUUGCAGGCAGACGCUGAACUGCAGAGUCUUUCCUCUUUCUCAG